CUCCAUCAUGAAAAACACAUGCAAAAGAAGGCACUUUCUUAUGCUUUAAUAUGGGCAAUUUCCUUCUGAACGGAACGCUAAGAAAAGACAUUGUUUCUAUGACAUAUCUAUAUACUUUCAGGUCUUGAUUGAAUUAAGUGUCUAGAGCCCUCUGGUCAUCUUCGCUUAACAUUUGCCCCUCUGGGAAUAUGGACCAAAAUUCUUUAUGGGGUGAAGAAGUUUGUCAGGAGGGUGAUUUGAAAUGACUCCUACUCAAUAGUCAUGCCUUCAGAAGCCCCUGAGCAUGGCUGCUUACGUCUUGGAGGGUUCUCCCUCACAUCUUUUCAAUCACGUGAUUACAUUUGCCUCAGCUCAUAUGUUUUAAAA